AUUGAACGCUGGCGGCAGGCCUAACACAUGCAAGUCGAACGAGUGGCGGACGGGUGAGUAAUGUCUGGGAAACUGCCUGAUGGAGGGGGAUAACUACUGGAAACGGUAGCUAAUACCGCAUACCAUCGGAUGUGCCCAGAUGGGAUUAGCUAGUAGGUGGGGUAACGGCUCACCUAGGCGACGAUCCCUAGCUGGUUUGAGAGGAUGACCAGCCACACGGGAACUGAGACACGGUCAAGACUCCUACGGGAGGCAGCAGUGGGUAAUUGUGGACAAUGGGUGAAAGCCUGAUGCAGCCAUGCCGCGUGUAUGAAGAAGGCCUUCGGGUUGUAAAGUACUUUCAGCGGGGAGGCGUGACCCGCAGAAGAAGCACCGGCUAACUCCGUGCCAGCAGCCGCGGUAAUAC
rnacentral:rRNA from 1 species